rnacentral:rRNA from 1 species
CACGAACCGUACGAACGUUAUUCGGAAUUACUGGGCUUAAAGGGUUUGUAGGCGGCCAUGUAAGUCCGUUGUGAAAGUCAAAGGCUCAACCUUUGAACGCCGAUGGAUACUGCCGGGCUAGAGUCCGGAAGAGGCGAGUGGAAUUCCUGGUGUAGCGGUGGAAUGCGCAGAUAUCAGGAGGAACACCAAUAGCGAAGGCAGCUCGCUGGGACGGUACUGACGCUGAGACGCGAAAGCGUGGGGAGCAAACAGG